rnacentral:misc_RNA from 1 species
GAUUUCAAUGCCGCUACUGCUGAACCAGAUACAUUAAGAUGAAAACACAAUAUUGAUGGGCAAUUCUCUGUUAAAAGGGUUUAUGAAAAAGAAGAAAGGGUAGAGUGUAGAGGGCAACCAAAAAUAUGGAGAAACUUAUGGAAUAGUCCAUCCCCAACCAAGGUAAAAUGCUUUACUUGGCUGGUGGUUAAAAGAGCAUGCCUGACACAAGAAGUUUUGAAGAAAAAGAGGGCCAUUACAGUUUCCAGGUGCUUCUUAUGCAAUGAGAAAUGUUAGUCAUCUGUUUUUACACGGCACUUUUACAGCACAGCUUUGGUCUCUAUUUCUCAACAUAACAAAGACAGGUUGGAUUAUGCUGGAGCAUACUGCAGAUUUGCUUAGAUAUUUCCAAAGCUAUUCUUGGCAUAUGCUCCACCCUCAUGCCCAGCAUACAUAAAAAGAGAUCCAGAAUGCUUAAGAGAGACCUCCACAGUAGCCAAGCCUUUGGAGACCAUCUCUAUCAUCCUUGUCCUAAUCUCCUGAUCUGAUUUCUCAUUCUCAAAUUUUGGGUAGAAAGUGGCCCUUAU